rnacentral:rRNA from 1 species
ACCCAAAUCUUUGGUGUUGCUUUUUCCAAUAAACGUUGGUUACAUUUCUUUAUGCUAUUUGUACCCGUCACCGGUUUAUGGAUGAGUGCUAUUGGCGUAGUUGGCUUGGCUCUGAACUUACGGGGUCCUAUAUCUAAAUUUAACAAUUCCUGA